CCUACGGGGGGCAGCAGUAGGGAAUCUUCCACAAUGGGCGAAAGCCUGAUGGAGCAACGCCGCGUGGGUGAAGAAGGUCUUCGGAUCGUAAAACUCUGUUGUUAGAGAAGAAAGGGCGUGAGUGUAACUGUUCACGUUUCGACGGUAUCUAACCAGAUAGCCACGGCUAACUACGUGCCAGCAGCCGCGGUAAUACGUAGGUGGCAAGCGUUAUCCGGAUUUAUUGGGCGUAAAGGGAACGCAGGCGGUCUUUUAAGUCUGAUGUGAAAGCCUUCGGCUUAACCGGAGUAGUGCAUUGGAAACUGGUAGACUUGAGUGCAGAAGAGGAGAGUGGAACUCCAGGUGUAGCGGUGAAAUGCGUAGAUAUAUGGAAGAACACCAGUGGCGAAAGCGGCUCUCUGGUCUGUAACUGACGCUGAGGUUCGAAAGCGUGGGUAGCAAACAGGAUUAGAUACCCGAGUAGUC
rnacentral:rRNA from 1 species